rnacentral:rRNA from 1 species
ACCUACGGGGGGCAGCAGUGGGUGAUAUUUCACAAUUUUUCCACCCUGAUGCAGCGACGCCGCGUGAGUGAAGAAGUAUUUCGGUACGUAAAGCUCUAUCAGCAGGGAAGAAUAAUGACGGUACCUGACUAAGAAGCCCCGGCUAACUACGUGCCAGCAGCCGCGGUAAUACGUAGGGGGCAAGCGUUAUCCGGAUUUACUGGGUGUAAAGGGAGCGCAGGCGGCUUGGCAAGUCUGAUGUGAAAGGCUGGGGCUCAACCCCAGGACUGCAUUGGAAACUGUUAGGCUGGAGUGUCGGAGAGGGA